UUGCCCUCGCUUCUCGCAGUAGAUCAUCUCGUUUGCAACGAGGAGGUCGCAGGUUCGAAUCCUGUACGGCACACCG
rnacentral:tRNA from 1 species